CCGCCAGACUCCUACGGGAGGCAGCAGUGGGGAAUAUUGGGCAAUGGGCGCAAGCCUGACCCAGCAACGCCGCGUGAAGGAAGAAGGCUUUCGGGUUGUAAACUUCUUUUAAGAGGGAAGAGUAGAAGACGGUACCUCUUGAAUAAGCCACGGCUAACUACGUGCCAGCAGCCGCGGUAAUACAUAGGGGGCAAGCGUUAUCCGGAAUUAUUGGGUGUAAAGGGUGCGUAGACGGAGAGACAAGUUGGUUGUGAAAUCCCUUGGCUCAACCGAGGAACUGCAACCAAAACUAUUUCCCUUGAGUGUCGGAGAGGAAAGUGGAAUUCCUAGUGUAGCGGUGAAAUGCGUAGAUAUUAGGAGGAACACCAGUGGCGAAGGCGACUUUCUGGACGAUAACUGACGUUGAGGCACGAAAGUGUGGGGAGCAAACAGGAUUAGAUACCCUAGUA
rnacentral:rRNA from 1 species